AGUCGAGCGGAUUCAUUCCUUCGGGGAUGGGUUAGCGGCGGACGGGUGAGUAACACGUAGGCAACCUGCCUAUAAGCCUGGGAUAACUUCCGGAAACGGAUGCUAAUACCGGAUACGUUGAUUCUUCGCAUGAAGAGUCAUGGAAAGACGGCGCAAGCUGUCACUUAUGGAUGGGCCUGCGGCGCAUUAGCUAGUUGGUGGGGUAACGGCUCACCAAGGCGACGAUGCGUAGCCGACCUGAGAGGGUGAUCGGCCACACUGGGACUGAGACACGGCCCAGACUCCUACGGGAGGCAGCAGUAGGGAAUCUUCGGCAAUGGACGCAAGUCUGACCGAGCAACGCCGCGUGAGUGAUGAAGGGUUUCGGCUCGUAAAACUCUGUUGCCAGAGAAGAACGUCCAGGAGAGUAACUGCUCUUGGAGUGACGGUAUCUGAGAAGAAAGCCCCGGCUAACUACGUGCCAGCAGCCGCGGUAAUACGUAGGGGGCAAGCGUUGUCCGGAAUUAUUGGGCGUAAAGCGCGCGCAGGCGGUUGUUUAAGUCUGGGGUUUAAGUUCGGGGCUCAACCCCGUAUCGCCCUGGAAACUGGGGAACUGGAGUGUAGGAGAGGAAAGUGGAAUUCCACGUGUAGCGGUGAAAUGCGUAGAGAUGUGGAGGAACACCAAUGGCGAAGGCAGCCCCCUGGGUCGAUACUGACGCUCAUGCACGAAAGCGUGGGUAGCAAACAGGAUUAGAUACCCUGGUAGUCCACGCCCUAAACGAUGUCAACUAGGUGUUGGGAGGGUAAAACCUUUUAGUACCGGAGCUAACGCGUGAAG
rnacentral:rRNA from 1 species